UGAUGCGAUCAUACCAACACUAAUGCACCGGAUCCCAUCAGAACUCUGAAGGUAAGCGUGCUUGGGCGAGAGUAGUACUAGGAUGGGUGACCCCCUGGGAAGUCCUCGUGUUGCAUCCC
rnacentral:rRNA from 1 species